GACGAACGCUGGCGGCGUGCUUAACACAUGCAAGUCGAACGGAAAGGCCCUGCUUUUGUGGGGUGCUCGAGUGGCGAACGGGUGAGUAACACGUGAGUAACCUGCCCUUGACUUUGGGAUAACUUCAGGAAACUGGGGUUAAUACCGGAUAGGAGCUCCUGCUGCAUGGUGGGGGUUGGAAAGUUUCGGCGGUUGGGGAUGGACUCGCGGCUUAUCAGCUUGUUGGUGGGGUAGUGGCUUACCAAGGCUUUGACGGGUAGCCGGCCUGAGAGGGUGACCGGCCACAUUGGGACUGAGAUACGGCCCAGACUCCUACGGGAGGCAGCAGUGGGGAAUAUUGCACAAUGGGCGGAAGCCUGAUGCAGCAACGCCGCGUGCGGGAUGACGGCCUUCGGGUUGUAAACCGCUUUCGCCUGUGACGAAGCGUGGGUGACGGUAAUGGGUAAAGAAGCACCGGCUAACUACGUG
rnacentral:rRNA from 1 species